CCCCGCGCACGUCUAACUGGGCCAAGCCCAAUUAAACCCGGAUUUGGCGGCCGUAAUUCCCUUUGCCUUUCCCCCGAGAGAUCUCACCCGUACCUAUCCCCGCUUUCCUCUCUUUUUCUCUGUGAUGAUGCGAGCGACGGAGGGCCGUCGUGGGACACGCCCCUACAAGGACGAUCCCCUCAGAUAAGGCACGGAGGUGUGCGCUGGUCUCCUCCUAUGUCGGCGAUUCCGUGCACCUCUUCUCACCGGGAGGCCAUGGAUUCAAUCGGCCAGCACAUCCACACGCCGGAUUCGAAGGCCAGCAAAUCCACCCAUCGGCGGUUGCCUCGCAUGGAGCUCCGCCCGCUGCAGCCUACCAAUACUGUGCUAGCCUCCCGCCUCCACCACUCCCGCCGGCGAGCCCCAACCUGCUCCUCCUAGGGUUCGUACCGUCCUCCGCGCCCCGAUCCCGCCGCCCACCGCCCCGAUUCGCUCCGCCGUCAUGCCGCAGCUGCUCAGAUCUUUGCGAGGUGGUCUGAUCCCAGGAGGCGAGUGAGGAGGGCCGGUCGAAUCCCGGCGUCUAGACGCUGCUCGGACCGAGAAUCCGCCCGAACCAUACCCUGCCUUCUCUGAUUGUUUUGCCUUCUCUGAUUGUUUUACCAACAAGAGUUUUUUUUUGCAAAUCAGGUUGGUAUCUUGGCUCGGCACUGGUGGUGAUGAUGACUUGAAAAAAGGCAGGAGUGGGGAACAUGUCGGGAUGAGGCUGACAUUGGUGCCCUGGAUACGUGUUACGAGGCUCUUCUGGCCAAGGUAGAAAGGGAACAAGACAUUUUUGUUGCUUUGGAUAUAGGUAUAAAUUAUGAACUACAAGAUAUGCAACUUAAGCUUCAAAAUACUAUGUUGGAGAAAAAGAAAGUUGCAGAAGUGAGGUCUUAAGAUCAUGCAUCUAUCAGUUCUUAAGCACAACCUGUUUGGGACUUGUUAGCUCCAUCUCCGGCCGCCACUCUGCUCACCGUUGCGGGAGCUGCGGCUAGCAGCUCCACCUCCGGCCGGCGCUCUGCUCGCUGUUGCAGGGGCCGCCGCUCUGCUCGCCACUGGUCCGCUCUUCUCCCCGUCGCUUCAACGACGGAGGUGGUGCGUAGGAGAUUGCCAGCGCUCGCGAACACACGCAGGGGCUCCGUGCCUUGUGCUCGCCGUCGCUGCAACGACGAAGGCGACACCCAGGAGCUCCGCCAUCGUCUCCGGCUCGCUGGCGCAGGUCUGCAUGAUCUAUUGCUCCAGUUCCCACUGUCUAGAAACCUGCAAAUUUAAGAUCAACAAUGGGUAUGGUGAUAUAUGGUCAAUGCAAUGUAGGAUCAACAAGGGAAUGCAUGGUUACAAGGAAAUCCAAAUGAUCUUUAUGAAAUUUUCUAUGUUGAGCAUAUGAUUAAUUGACAUGUACUGCUGCCUCUUGCCAAGGCUCUAAAUACUUGUUGGUUGAGAGAAGUAACCUAAAUUACUCCCAGGCAUUAGAGAAUUAUGUAACGUCAUAAGAACAUUGUUCGAGCAUUGCAUUAGAGAAUUAUGGCAUACCUCGACAAGAUACUAAAUAGGAUUUAGUUCAAAGACGGGAGUCAGAAGCUACAAACAAUGAUAAUACACUUUGAACAAAAUCAAAUACACUUUGAACGAAAUGUCUGUCCCAGGUUUGACAGUAGCUACAUUACAGUCUACUAGAAAGUCAGUAUUUUCCUUUUGGAUGGAUUUGCCGCUUCAUAUUAUGGUUUAGGGUAGGGGCUCCGUGCCUUGUGCUCGCUGUCGCUGCAACAACGAUGACGAUGCCCAGGAGCUUUGCCCUCGCCAUCGUCUCCGGCUAGCUGGCGCAGGUCUGCAUGAUCUAUUGCUCCAGUUCCCACUGCCUAGCAACCCUGCAAAUUUAAGAUCAACAAUGGGUAUGGUGAUAUAAGCUCAAUGCAAUGUAGAAUCGACAAGGCAAUGCAUGGUUACAAGGAAAUCCAUAUGAUCUUUAUCAAAUUUUCAAUGUUGAGCAUAUGAUUAAUUUUCAUGUACUGUUACCUCUUGCCAAGGCUCUAAAUACUUGUUGGUUGAGAGAAGUCACCUAAAGGGGGAAAAUAAUACAGAUGUUCUUGGCUUGCCUUUCAUAGUUUUAAUCAAGCGUGAACAUAUAAUAAUACAACUUAUUAAUGUGAAUAUGUACAGUUCUAAAUAUACAGUGUAUAUAGUACAUAUGCUCCUCUUUCCAUUUUAUCCUUCAUGCGAAAUAUCAUGAUUUUUUGUUCAUCUUUGAACCUUACUACAGAUCUGUCAAGAACUACAGAUUCAUACUCGCACUUUGUGAUUUUGUUCUUUUCUUCUUAGGAUAUCAUUUCCUUUGCUAAUUCUGGGUGUAGUAUUACAGGUUUACUCACUAUCUCCGUCUCACCUCUCUUUAUGUCUAUUGAUAAAUUAAUCUCCUUCUGUAAUAUGUAUUCUCUUGCUCAAACUAAGAUUCAUUUUCUACUUCGAGUGAAUUUGCCAUUCUAUUUUCUGCAUUUAGUUUAUGUCCGCACUAGAAACUGCUGGCCUAUUAUGUCGCUAUCUAUAUUUUGUAUUUUAUUUUAUGUUGUGAUGUGAGUAGCAUAAUUGGACGGAGGUGCUCAGCAUGACAUGAUAUGUCGCUAUCUAUUCAGUGCUCCUGUGACCUGACCUUGUGAUGCUACGUAAAGCCUAGAGUGUAGAGUGGGACAUAAAUGUGCUGGAUGCACUAAUUUAGCUCAUUGCCUUGCUUCACUGUGUUGUGUAGAUGCAAAACUAUUUCAGUUUUAAAACACUCAUUGGAUUUGCAGCUAAGUAGUUUAGAAUUUUGCAAUGUGAAGAUGGUCUUGCACAGGAAAUUCAGUAGCAAUCUAGAAAUACCAUGUCUGGUCUUAUUCUAUACGAUUGAAAUGGAAAACAGCAAGACACGGAAUUUCACAAGUUCCGGUGCUUUCUUUAUACAUAACAUUGAAAAGAAAAGCUAAUCUAUACCAUUUUAUUCUGUUGUAUGUUUUUUGUCUACUUGGAUUGGGUCAAAUACAUGUAGUUGCAGACCGGCUUAAGCACCAUUCAUUUGUAUCUGAUGUGCUAAUUCAAACAUGAUCAGAAGAUGCAUGAGACACCCUAUGACCUCUGAGGAUGAUAAUAGAUGGUAUGCUAUCUGUUGGUUCGAUACAAAUUAUUAUUUCUUCUGCUUUCAUUGGAAUUCUUUUGAUUACCCUUUGAAAAAUGUAGAGCGAAAUAAAUGAAUUAUUUUGUGCCGUAUGUAUUUCAAUAUAAUUAAGCUAAAUGAAUGGCAUUAUUAGGGAAACAAUCUACUCUGAGCAAGUAAAUCAACCAAUUUGGUGCCUUUCAAUGCAUUCCUUUUCUUGGAGGGCACCUUAAUAUGCGUUAAUUCUGGAGCCUGGAGAUCCCUGUAUUGUGAGAAAGCAAAAAGAUUGAAGUGUCCAGUGGAGCGCGCCUCUUCUAUUCUCUGCCCGUUUGUGUGCGUAACAAAUCAAAACUUGGUGUGUGCGGUGGAGUCUUUGGGCUUGUGGCCUUUUUAGUUGCUAUGUAGUGCUUUACUUAGGUAUUAAUCAUGGAGGUAGAGUAUGUGGAUCAAGUGCUCCAGCUUGGAGCUAUCGGUGAUGUCUACUUCAGGUAUCUUUGCCAGUGGACAUCAACGGAUAGAUAGAGCGUAUGAAAUGAAUUGUACUUCUGGAGUCAAGAAGCUCAGAGGUACUGAGACGAAUGAAUUCCAGGCCACAUCUAACAAUCACACUUAUCAGCCAACCUGACCUUUGUUUGUAUUGUUGUCUCAUGCAGCUGUUGGCCGGAUCAGCGAUUCAUUGUGAAUUAUUACUUCGAUUUUUCUCACGCAGCUGUGGAUGAUUGGUGCUACCUGAAGUGCCAAGAAACAAGUAGGCAUUCAUUGCAAGCUAAAAAUAAAGUUGAAGUAUAGGCUUGGAAGGUUAAAUUAAGGGUCUAGCUGUUUAACAGAUCAUGUAUUGUUAGUGUUGCUUUUUAAUUGAUAGAUUUGUGCAAGGAACGAGAUUUAUGUGACUAUUUGAUCGAAAAAUAUAAAAAUAUUUUUGCUUUA